AUUGAACGCUGGCGGCAGGCCUAACACAUGCAAGUCGAACGAGUGGCGGACGGGUGAGUAAUGUCUGGGACACUGCCUGAUGGAGGGGGAUAACUACUGGAAACGGUAGCUAAUACCGCAUACCAUCAGAUGUGCCCAGAUGGGCUUAGCUAGUUGGUGGGGUAACGGCUCACCAAGGCGACGAUCCCUAGCUGGUCUGAGAGGAUGACCAGCCACACUGGAACUGAGACACGGUCCAGGCGCCUACGGGAGGCAGCAGUGGGGAAUAUUGGACAGUGGGCGCAAGCCUGAUGCAGCCAUGCCGAGUGUAUGAAGAAGGCCUUGGGGUUGGAAAGUACUUUCAGCGGGGAGGCGGUACCCGCAGAAGAAGCACCGGCUAACUCCGUGCCAGCAGCCGCGGUAAUAC
rnacentral:rRNA from 1 species